rnacentral:rRNA from 1 species
GACAGAGGAUGCAAGCGUUAUCCGGAUUUACUGGGCGUAAAGCGUCUGUAGCCUGAUAUGUAAGUCUGUUUUCAAAUACCUGGACUUAAUCGAGGGAAGGGGAUAGAUACUGCAUAUCUAGAGAUAUUUGGAGGUUAGUGGAAUUUCCGGUGGAGCGGUGAAAUGCGUUGAUAUCGGAAAGAACGCCGAAAGCGAAAGCAGCUAACUACAAUACAUCUGACGGUGAGAGACGAAAGCUUGGGGAGCAAACGGG